CCCAGGGACCUUGUGAAAAUGUAGUUUCUAACCCAGGAGGUCUGGGAUGGGGCUUGAGAUGCUGCAUUUCUACCGAGUUCCCAGGUGAUGCUGAUGAUCCUGGUUCACUGACCACAUUUUGAAUUA
rnacentral:miRNA from 1 species